UUUUCCAUGGCUCACUUCUUAACGACUAUUCACAGUGUAGGUGAGGGGUGAUACUAAAAAUCUGCAGUAUCAGAUCAGAGCAAGUGUGAUACUAGAUUUACUGUCAUACAUGACAUCUCCUUGACAGUGCUUUUUGUUUUGUUUGUAAACAUAUACGUUGUUUAUAAACAUAUACGUCUUUCGAUUCACGGAAGGCAAAAGGAAAUCGUGAAACGAACACAAAUUGAUGGUUAAUGCAAUCCCUGAUUUUCGAAUUUUCCUGCUGUGGAGCAGCUUCGGCGAGCGGGGAUAUGGAUGGACGCAAAACCGCCUUGGAUUUGAAGACCCCAGCUAGCAAUGAUCAGCGCCACGCAGAACGCUGAAGAAAUUCAACAAAACCAUGCUACGUAGUUUGUUUCUGAGCCGGUUCAACCAGCUAAUUGGUAGCCGUCCCGAGUGGCCAAGUUGAAGCUGCACCGCAUGAGAACUCCAUCGCCUUUGCUGUCUAAACCGUUACAAAGAUGACCGCAAGCUGAGAUGAACGUAUAUGCCCUGCAGCGUGUGGCGGAAAAGCGUAUCCUCUACCAGGAAGAUAAAGAGAUCUCCACUUUCGAUCAGCUGGCGAUGGUUGCCCCUACCGGAAAGAACAUUAUGCUGAAAAAACGCUGCUUACGAAGCACUCAUCCACUUCGGACGUG